CAGUAGCCGCGGUAAUACGGAGGGUGCAAGCGUUAAUCGGAAUUACUGGGCGUAAAGCGUGCGUAGGCGGUUCGUUAAGUCUGUUGUGAAAGCCCCGGGCUCAACCUGGGAAUGGCAAUGGAUACUGGCGAGCUAGAGUGUGUCAGAGGAUGGUGGAAUUCCCGGUGUAGCGGUGAAAUGCGUAGAGAUCGGGAGGAACAUCAGUGGCGAAGGCGGCCAUCUGGGACAACACUGACGCUGAGGCACGAAAGCGUGGGGAGCAAACAGGAUUAGAGACCCCCGUAGUCCCUGUCUCUUAUAC
rnacentral:rRNA from 1 species